rnacentral:rRNA from 1 species
GACAGAGGUGCCGAGCGUUAGGCGGAAUCACUAGGCUUAAAGCGUGUGUAGGCGGGCGAUCAAGUACCUUGUGAAAUCCCACGGCUCAACCGUGGAACCGCUGGGUAUACUGGUUGUCUUGAGCCGGCUAGGGGCGAGCGGAACAGACGGUGGAGCGGUGAAAUGCGUAGAUAUCGUCUGGAACGCCGAAGGUGAAAACAGCUCGCUGGGGCCGCGCUGACGCUGAGACACGAAAGCCAGGGGAGCGAACGGG